rnacentral:rRNA from 1 species
AUUGAACGCUGGCGGCAGGCCUAACACAUGCAAGUCGAGCGGAUGAAGGGAGCUUGCUCCUGGAUUCAGCGGCGGACGGGUGAGUAAUGCCUAGGAAUCUGCCUGGUAGUGGGGGAUAACGUCCGGAAACGGGCGCUAAUACCGCAUACGUCCUGAGGGAGAAAGUGGAGGAUCUUCGGACCUCACGCUAUCAGAUGAGCCUAGGUCGGAUUAGCUAGUUGGUGGGGUAAAGGCCUACCAAGGCGACGAUCCGUAACUGGCCUGAGAGGAUGAUCAGUCACACUGGAACUGAGACACGGUCCAGACUCCUACGGGAGGCAGCAGUGGGGAAUAUUGGACAAUGGGCGAAAGCCUGAUCCAGCCAUGCCGCGUGUGUGAAGAAGGUCUUCGGAUUGUAAAGCACUUUAAGUUGGGAGGAAGGGCAGUAAGUUAAUACCUUGCUGUUUUGACGUUACCAACAGAAUAAGCACCGGCUAACUUCGUG